GACGAACGCUGGCGGCGUGCUUAACACAUGCAAGUCGAACGGAAAGGCCCUGCUUUUGCGGGGUGCUCGAGUGGCGAACGGGUGAGUAACACGUGAGUAACCUGCCCUUGAAUUUGGGAUAACUUUAGGAAACUGGGGCUAAUACCGGAUAGGAGCUCUUGCUGCAUGGUGGGGGUUGGAAAGUUUCGGCGGUUGGGGCUGGAAUCGCGGCUUAUCCGCUUGUUGGUGGGGUAGUGGCUUACCAAGGGUUUGACGGGUAGCCGGCCUGAGAGGGUGACCGGCCACAAUGGGACUGAGGUACGGACCAGACGGCUACGGGAGGCAGCGGUGGGGAGUAUUGCACAAUAAGCGGAAGCCUGAUACAACGACGCCGCGUGCGGGAUGACGGCCUUCGAGUUAUAAACCGCUUUCGACUGUGACGAGGCGUGAGUGACGGUAAUGAGUAAGAAAGCACCGGCUAACUACGUG
rnacentral:rRNA from 1 species